UUUUGUUGUUAAGGGCUUAGGGUGGAUGCCUUGGCACAUGGGAGCGAUGAAAGACGUGGGAGGCUGCGAUAAGCCUCGGGGAGCUGUCAACCGAGCUGUGAUCCGAGGGUGUCUGAAUGAGGAAACUCACUGGGUAGGAAUGCCUGGUACUCAAACUUUGUUUGGGGGCGUACGUAGGGAAGUGAAACAUCUCAGUACCUACAGGAAAAGAUAUUCCGUUAGUAGUGGCGAGCGAAAGCGGAGGAGACCAAACCGGUUGUGUGUGAUACUUGUCAGGGGUUGCAUGAUCGGUGUUGUGGGAUGUUGUCGUACUGGUUCUGACAGGCUGGUGGCAAGUGAUAAAACAGGGUGUGAGCUGAACAGGAUUGAAUGCCUGGCUGUAGAGGGUGAUGGCCCCGUAGGUGUAAAUGCUUUGUCUUGUUGAUGAUGGUCCCAAGUAGCACGAUACUCGAGGAAUUUCGUGUGAAUCUGCCCAGACCGUUGGGUAAGUCUAAAUAUAUCCAUGUGACCGAUAGUGGACGAGUACCGUGAGGGAAAGGUGAAAAGUAGUCCGGGAGGACAGUGAAAUAGUUUCUGAAACCGUGAGCUUACAAUCCGUCGGAGCCUUGAGGGGUGACGGCGUGCCUAUCGAAAAAUGAGUCUGCGAGUUAGUGGUAUGUAGCGAGGUUAACCCGUGUGGGGGAUCCGUAGCGAAAGCGAGUUUUAAAAGGCGUUUGAGUUGCAUACUCUAGACCCGAAGCGGGAUGAUCUAUCCUUGAGCAGGUUGAAGCAGGGGUAAGACUUUGUGGAGGACCGAACGCACCUAGGUUGAAAACUGGGGCGAUGACUUGUGGAUAGGGGUGAAAGGCCAAUCAAAUUCCGUGAUAGCUGGUUCUCUCCGAAAUGCAUUUAGGUGCAGCGUCGGUUUUAGUUUCCAGGGGGUAGAGCUACUGGAUGCUUGCGGGCUCGUAUGGGGUACCAAUAGCAGCCAAACUCCGAAUACCUGUGAAGUGGUGGCCGGCAGUGAGUCAGCGGGGGAUAAGCUUCGUUGUCGAAAGGGAAACAGCCCAGAUCGUCGUCUAAGGUCCCUAAGCGUGUGCUAAGUGGGAAAGGAUGUGGAGUCGCAUAGACAGCCAGGAGGUUGGCUUAGAAGCAGCCAUCCUUGAAAGAGUGCGUAACAGCUCACUGGUCUAGUGGUUCCGCGCCGACAAUGUAGCGGGGCUCAAGCACACCACCGAAGACGCGACAAUCAGUUUAUACUGGUUGGGUAGGAGAGCGUUGUCUACUGGGGUGAAGCAGGCGUGGAAACGUUUGUGGACUGUAGACAAGUGAGAAUGCAGACAUGAGUAACGAAAGACGGGUGAAAAUCCCGUCCGCUGGAUGACUAAGGGUUCCAGGGCCACGUUCAUCGUCCCUGGGUGAGUCGGGUCCUAAGGCGAGGCCGACAGGCGUAGUCGAUUGGAUGAAGGAGUUGAUAUUCUCCUACCAGUGUAUUCUCGACCAUUCCGAGGCUUACUGUACUAACCUCACACUUCUUACUGUUUCAUCUUUCGGGGUGUUGUGGUUGGUUGUGUUUGGGAUCUUGGUUUGUAGUAGGACAGCACAGGAGUGACGCAUUGGGAUAGCUGACAUGUCAGGUGGUUUUGGCAUGGUAAGCACGCAGCCUGUGGGAUAGGUAAAUCCGUUCCACGUGAGGGUGAGGUGUGAUGCGCGCUGGUUUUAUACUGGUGUUUUGGUGAUUCUUGGUGUCAAGAAAAUCUUCGGUGUGAGAGGAUAUAUCUGCCCGUACCCUAAACCGACACAGGUGGUCAGGUAGAGUAUACCAAAGCGAUCGAGCGAAUCCUGGUCAAGGAACUCGGCAAAUUACUCCCGUGCCUUCGGUAUAAGGGAGACCCUUGAUGGUGAAACUCUUUACGGGUGGAGCUUUUGGGGGUGGCACAGACCAGGGGGUAGCGACUGUUUACCAAAAACACAGGUGCAUGCGAAGACGUAAGUCGCUGUAUAUGCACUGACGCCUGCCCGGUGCCGGAAGGUUAAGAGGAUCCAUUAACCCUUUUGGGGUGAAGUGGUGAAUUUAAGCCCCGGUAAACGGCGGUGGUAACUAUAACCAUCCUAAGGUAGCGAAAUUCCUUGUCGGGUAAGUUCCGACCUGCACGAAUGGCGUAA
rnacentral:rRNA from 1 species